UACGGAGGGGGCGAGCGUUAUUCGGAAUUAUUGGGCGUAAAGGGCGCGUAGGCGGCUCGAUAAGUCGAAGGUGAAAUCCCUCGGCUCAACUGAGGAACUGCCUUUGAAACUGUCGAGCUCGAGUCCGGGAGGGGGUAGCGGAAUUCCCAGUGUAGCGGUGAAAUGCGUAGAUAUUGGGAGGAACACCAGUGGCGAAAGCGGCUACCUGGACCGGAACUGACGCUGAUGCGCGAAAGCGUGGGUAGCAAACAGG
rnacentral:rRNA from 1 species